AAAGAAUUGAAAAAGAGGUAGUUAGCAAUUGGUUAACAGGUGGUUAACCAGACUGAGCUGGCUCCAGGGAGGACCACAGGCAGGCUUCUUGCUGGAGGCAGCUGCUCUGGAAAGUGGGAAAAACACUGAAGGCCACAGGAUCUGCAUGAAGAAUGCAUUAUGCAUUUUAUCUAUCUUACCAGACGGCCUCAACUCUACUGGUAGAACACUGAAACAUUUAUCUUUUCCUUCAUCCUCUCUCCUGUUCUGCAGUACGCUUGCACCAGCAGGUAAAAGGAAUCUCUCACAGAACCAAAGAACAUGAGAAGGAUUCAACUCAUCGUUGCUGGCUCUGAAGAUGGUGGAAGGGGCAAUGAGCCAAGGAAUGUGGACAGUCUUUAGAAACUAGAAUAAGCAAGAAGAUGGAUUCUCCCUUAGAGCUUCCAGAGAGAAACUCAGCACUGCCAACGACUCUGUUUUAGCUGAAUGAGAACCGCGUCUGGCUUCUGACCUGCAGAACUAUAAGAUAAUGACUUUGUGUUGUUUUAAAUGACUACCUUUGUGAUAAUUUGUUAGGAUAGUAACAGAAGACUAACACAUAAGGCUUAACUAUUUUCAAUUAAAGCACUUACAGAAUUUGAGAGUAGGCAGCCUCAUGGGGAAGACCUCAGAACAGAAACCUCUAUAAGAAAAGAAAAGAAGGGCCUGCCCAGUGGUGCAGUGGUUAAGUGUACACGUUCCGCUUCUCGGUGGCCUGGUGUGCGCUGGUUCAGAUCCCGGGUGCAGACAUGGCACUGCUUGGCAAAAGCCAUGCUGUGGUAGGCGUCCCACAUAUAAAGUAGAG
rnacentral:lncRNA from 1 species